UGCCAGACUCCUACGGGAGGCAGCAGUGGGGAAUAUUGCACAAUGGGGGAAACCCUGAUGCAGCGACGCCGCGUGAGUGAAGAAGUAUUUCGGUACGUAAAGCUCUAUCAGCAGGAAAGAAAAUGACGGUACCUGACUAAGAAGCCCCGGCUAACUACGUGCCAGCAGCCGCGGUAAUACGUAGGGGGCAAGCGUUAUCCGGAUUUACUGGGUGUAAAGGGAGCGUAGACGGCAGCGCAAGUCUGGAGUGAAAUGCCGGGGCCCAACCCCGGAACUGCUCUGGAAACUGUGAAGCUGGAGUGCAGGAGAGGUAAGCGGAAUUCCUGGUGUAGCGGUGAAAUGCGUAGAUAUCAGGAGGAACACCGGCGGCGAAGGCGGCUUACUGGACUGUAACUGACGUUGAGGCUCGAAGGCGUGGGGAGCAAACAGGAUUAGAUACCCUAGUAA
rnacentral:rRNA from 1 species